UGGGUAGUAGUUCAGUGAUAGAGCUCACGCUUCGUAUGCGGGGAGACCUGGGUUCGAUCCCCGGCUACUUGC
rnacentral:tRNA from 1 species